CAUCGCCUAUUGAUUCUAUAUUAGGUAUUGCCUGCCCUAUGAUUUAAAUGGCCGCAGUAUCCUGACUGUGCAAAGGUAGCAUAAUCAUUUGUCUCUUAAUUGGAGGCUGGUAUGAAUGGCGUAACGUAAGAAACACUGUCCCAUUGUUAUAAACUUAACUUAAUAUUUAAGUCAAAAAGCUUAAAUGUUAGUACAGGACGAGAAGACCCCUUAGAUCUUUAUAAUGACUUAUUGCAUGUUUAUAGUAUUAAAAUAAAUGAAAAUCAAGGUAUAUUAUUUGGUUGGGGUGACUAGAGAUAAAUAAACAUCUCUAAAAUAAACUUUUGUGUUAGGAUUAAAGACCCAUAAGGAGAUUAAAAGAUGAAGUUACCUAGGGGAUAACAGCGUAAUUUAAAUUUAGAGUUCUUAUCAAAAUUUAAGAUUGCGACCUCGAUGUUGGAUUAAGAUUAAAGACAGACGCAACAGUUUGUUCUAAUGGGUCUGUUCGACCUUUAAAUUCUUACAUGAUCU
rnacentral:rRNA from 1 species